rnacentral:rRNA from 1 species
UUCCAAAAACAUAUUCACUAGAAUUUAUUAUUGAUAUAUCCUGCUCAAUGAUCAAUUAAAUAGCCGCAGUUCAUACUGUGCUAAGGUAGCAUAAUCACUUGUCUUCUAAUUAAAGACUGGAAUGAAAGGAUAAACAUUUAAGUUAUUAUAGAACUUUUCAUAUUUUAACUUAUUAAAAAUGUAAAAAAACAUUUAUUCUUUAGAAAGACGAAAAGACCCUAUUGAACUUUACUGAAGUUUAACUGGGGCAGUUAAUUAAUUAUUAUUUUAAUAACUUUAAUCAAAAAAAAAUGACCUGAUUUAAUCAAUUGAAUGAUCAAGUUACCAUAGGGAUAACAGCGCAAUAUAUUUUUAUAGCUCUCAUACAAAAAUAAGAUUACGACCUCGAUGUUGAAUUAAUUUAUCUAAUUCAAUGCAACCAUUAAAUUAGAAAGUCUGUUCGACUUUUAAACAAUUACAUGAUCUGAG